rnacentral:rRNA from 1 species
CCUACGGGUGGCUGCAGUGGGGAAUAUUGGGCAAUGGGCGCAAGCCUGACCCAGCAACGCCGCGUGAAGGAAGAAGGCUUUCGGGUUGUAAACUUCUUUUAAGAGGGAAGAUCAGAAGACGGUACCUCUUGAAUAAGCCACGUCUAACUACGUGCAAGGAGCCGCGGUAAUACGUAGGUGGAAAGCGUUGUCCGGAUUUACUGGGUGUAAAGGGCGUGCAGGCGGGAAAACAAGUCAGAUGUGAAAUCCCGCUGCUCAACCGCAGAACUGCAUUUGAAACUGGUUUUCUUGAGUGCCGGAGAGGUAAUCGGAAUUCGUUGUGUAGGGGUGAAAUGCGUAGAUAUAAGGAAGAACACCAGUGGCGAAGGCGGAUGACUGGACGGCAACUGACGGUGAGGCGCGAAAGCGUGGGGAGCAAACAGGAUUAGAUACCCUGGUAGUC